GUGCUCACAUCAGCAGCACAUAGACUAAAAGUAGAACAAUACGGAGAGGAUUUGCAUGGCCCCUGUGCAAGGAAGACAUGCAAAUUUGUGAAGUGUUCCAUAUUUUU
ensembl:snRNA U6 U6 spliceosomal RNA